AUUGAACUCUGGCGGCAGGCCUAACACAUGCGAGUCGAUCGGAGCGGCGGACGGGUAAGUAAUGCCUAGGAAUCUGCCUGAUGGUGUGGGAUAAAGUCCUGAAACGGGCGCUAAUACCGCAUCCUAUCAGAAGAGCCUAGUGCGGAGUAGCUAGUUGGUGGGGUAAAGGCCUACCAAGGCGACGAUCCGUAACUGGUCUGAGAGGAUGAUGAGUCACACUGGAACUGAGACACGGGCCAGACGACUACGGUAGUCAGCAGUGGGGAAUAUUGGACAAUGGGCGAAAGCCUGAUCCAGCCAUGCCGCGUGUGUGAAGAAGGUCUUGGGAUUGUAAAGCACGUUAAGUUGGGAGGCGUUACCAACAGAAUAAGCACCGGCUAACUCCGUGCCAGCCGCCGCGGUAAUUC
rnacentral:rRNA from 1 species